rnacentral:lncRNA from 10 species
AGGUGCCCACAGCAGAAUCCACAUGCCGUCCAUCUGGUCCAGCCUCACGCAGAGCCACAACUGUGCUGGCGCCUGGAGCUGCCAGCCCCACUGCAGCAGCCGGACUGACAUUCAGACGUGGAGCAAGUUGGACUGCAUAGGGACCCACCAGUGAGAUGGACGCUGUCUGUAAACGAUGCGGAAAUUGAACAAUAGGAAGAUUCAACACAAUGUAGUCAGGAUAAGAAUGAAUGAGAAGAGGCCCAGUCCUUAGGAGGAAUUGUAACCAAGUUUCAUCUGUAGAUCUCCCAGUGAUCCUCCAGCCUUGAAUUUGUUUUAA